CCUGUGGGACCCCACAAUUGAGGCUCCACGGGGCCGAGACAUUCUCCCCAAGCUGUACUCUCUGGGGGCGGUCCUCUAAGAAGGAACAGAGCCAGGCGAGAGCCUGGCCACCUAUUCCCAACUCGGUGAGCCUCCCCAGGAGGAUACCGUGGUCAAUGGUAUCGAAGGCCGCUGAGAUAUCGAGGAGGACCAGCAGAGACAUUUUGCCCCUGUUGGCCUCCCUCAAUAGGUCAUCACACAGGGCGACCAAUGCCGUUUCUGUUCCAUGGCGCGGCCUGAAGCCCGACUGGAAUGGAUCCAGGGCAUCUGUUUCAUCCAGGAACGCCUGAAGCUGAUCGGCCACCACCCUCUCGACUACCUUGCUUAAGAAAUUGCCAAUUUCGUCCCCCGGGCCAAUUCCGGAUAGGUCGCGUACUGCACAGAACUCCUGAACGUUUCUAACAUGCCCUUUGGAUUCAUGUCUGGUCUCAGAUAACUGAUCUCAUCAGAGCUUGACAGAACCUUCACCAUCCCCCCCCCGCUCUGAGAUGUUCAGGUGCUAAUGAACCAGAAUUCCCAUCAUCCUGGAUCGUUGGCUAUGCUGAUUGGAAGUGGGAAUUGGAGUCCAACAGCAUGUGGAAAACCACACAUCCCACACCUUGUUUUACACUAUAGUCUUCAAUCGCUCCAAGCAGAAGACCACUGCAACAAUGCAAUGUUGCUGCUCUGCCUGGUCUGGUGCCCUCACUGAAAGCCUCUGAGCAAGAGAAUGAAACUCACUUAAUGUGCAUUUUAGUAACUGUUAACAUACGCCAUUACCUUGGAGAUUUUGCUCAAUGCAUGGCCCUCCUCAUGUUACUACUUCCAGGACAAAAACCCUUAAUGCGUGUGACAUGACUGAAUCCUGCUGUGAGCAUUUGCAAAUAUGUGUUGGCCAAUGUUUAGAUGUGUGGGUGUGCCUAAAUGUAUACAAGUGGAUUUGUGCAUUUGAUUUGCACAUCAAAUACCAAAGCAGAUGACAUCAGUGGCCUGAUCAAGGUAGUGCUCAGCACAACCCACCUACCUUGUCUUUUGGACAGUGACCAACACCAGAGGUUGGUUUGUAAGUCACUGCAGGCAUUUCUGUGAAUAUCACUUUGUUUUAGGUGAUGGGGACAGUAUGGAGAAUCUCUUGCCUGAUCUCACAUGGUCCCUGUUCCUGAUGUCCAUCUGCAUAGCUGGGACAUUGGUAAAGAGUGGAGUAUUGCAUGUAAAUUUGUACACACAAGUUGAAACCCUGCACUACAUGCAAAGCCCUGUCCCUGCUCAUACCUUUAGGUAAGCAAACAAUGUGAAAAGAGGGCUCAUAGGUGUACUUGUCUGUACAUGGAAUUCAUUGUCACAUUUUUAGCACAGAGAGUCUUUGCUCUUGUCCCAUGUGGUCUAGCGACCAGAAUGCUGGACUAGGAUGGGGGAGACUCAGAUUGAAACCCCCACUGAGCCAUGAAGUCACAUGACCUUGAGGUGAACACUUUAAUCCAGGGGUGAUAAUUCCACCAGACACAUUAGACCGCUCUCGCAUUCUGUUGGCUACACACUGGUGCCACCACUGCAGCAGCAAACGUGUUCUGGUGUUGCUGACUUCGUCCCUUUGUUUUCAAAAAAAAAAGUGUGUUCCUCUCCUCUGUAAUGGGAAACCUUGGGUUUCUACUUCACCUGGUGUUGCUGACUUCGUCCCUUUGUUUUUUAAAAAAUGUGCGUUCCUCUCCUCU
ensembl:lncRNA